rnacentral:misc_RNA from 1 species
UUAACUAUUAUAUAGUACUCAGACGACACUAACAUUCAGAGUUUGGGGUCCUCUGGCGGGCACGCACCAGCCGGAGCCGGUGGCCGAGGCGGCCCGCCAAAGCAACAGAAGGUAUGUAAUACACAGGGUGGGAGAUCUACCCCGAAGGGCAUGAUGCUCUGUAAUGAUCCCUCCGCAGGUUCACCUACGGAGA